GACUGCGACCCUCAACGAUUCGCUGCCACUCUGAGCUCAGGACAGGCUGAGCCUGCCUCCCUGGCUCCCGAAGCUGAGAGAGGGAAGUAGGUAGGGACACUUGGGCGCUUGCGCCUGACGUUUCGGUCUCGGGGAGGCAGCUCCACCUCCCCAAGUGAGCUCGGCUCCCCGUUCCCAGGAUAAGAUACCAUCUCGGCCGGGGCUAGAUCCCGAGACCACUGACUGCCUCCCCUCCCUCCCCAGGGCCUUCCCCACUCAUUUAUCCCCGAGCACCGCGGGCUCUCCUGGGCUUCCAGCCAGCCCCUCACACUCGAAGCCCACGCGGGAUGGGGUUUAACCAACUCCUUGGGGGACCUUGAUUCCCAGGAAGUAUGGCAGUGACCCAGUCGGACAGCCCAGAAAGCGGGACAUGAUACAGGCAGAUGUGAAAACCCGCUUAACAGCAUGUGUGAGUCUGUCUGCACAGUUGGCUCCGCAUGUGAGGUGCGAAGAAUCCAGUUUCAUCCAAGCGAUGUAUCAAUAAAUGAUGCCAUCUCCAUAUUGAUUUAUGUUUAAUUUCCGCUGACCCUGUGGGUGAAGAUGUCCUUGAUUAUUUCACCUCGAUAUGUUCCAGCUCAUCUGAUGUCCCAUCACCAGUGUCCAUGUGCCAGAUCUUGUGUGCCAAGAUCUGUCCAAAAUCGGAGCAUCCAAGACAGAGGAGCAGCAGCUUCCUGCGUCCUGGCCCCUGAUUACCAGGUGGCAGUUGUGGGUAACUGUUUUCCAGGCUGCUGCAUGUCAAGGAGCAGUGGCUGUGCUCAUGGCAUAUUGACUCCAGCUUCUUGAAUUCGCAGUUCCUCUGAUGGGUUCAGCGGAGACAGCUUGUGUGGACUGCUUCUGUCUGGCUCCCAGGCCGGCUUCUGGGGGCCAAGCCCGGAACUUUCAGCUCCGCCGUGGUUUUUAACUUCAUUCCGUUCCGCCUGUCCCAGACAAGGAGAGAUGAUGAGCUCAUCACAGCUGGCCACACUGUUGUGUGGGUCCUCACGCACUAUUCCAGGAAGAGGUCUCCUUCCCAAAUAGCGCCGAGCCAGAAGACUAUGAAUGAGGUGCUGAGAACUUUCAGGCAAUAAGACUGUUUGUUGAUUUGGUUUGAAGACGCCAGAAACUAAUUUUGCCAGUA